rnacentral:rRNA from 1 species
GUGUCAGCCGCCGCGGUAAUACGGAGGAUGCAAGCGUUAUCCGGAUUCAUUGGGUUUAAAGGGUGCGUAGGCGGAAUACUAAGUCAGCGAUGAAAUCCUGCAGCUUAACUGUAGAACUGUCAUUGAUACUGGUAUUCUUGAAUGCAGUUGAGGUAGGCGGAAUGUGUAAUGUAGCGGUGAAAUGCUUAGAUAUUACCCAGAACACCGAUUGCGAAGGCAGCUUACUAAACUGUGAUUGACGCUGAGGCACGAAAGCGUGGGGAGCAAACAGGAUUAGAUACCCUGGUAGUCCACGCCGUAAACUAUGAUUACUCGCUGUUGGCGAUAUAUUGUCAGCGGCUGAGCGAAAGCAUUAAGUAAUCCACCUGGGGAGUACGAUCGCAAGGUUGAAACUCAAAGGAAUUGACGGGG